UACGUAGGGUGCAAGCGUUAAUCGGAAUUACUGGGCGUAAAGGGUGCGUAGGCGGUUCGUUAAGUCUGUCGUGAAAUCCCCGGGCUCAACCUGGGAAUGGCGAUGGAUACUGGGCAGCUAGAGUGUGUCAGAGGAUGGUGGAAUUCCCGGUGUAGCGGUGAAAUGCGUAGAGAUCGGGAGGAACACCAGUGGCGAAGGCGGCCUUCUGGACCAGUACUGACGCUCAUGCACGAAAGCGUGGGGAGCAAACAGG
rnacentral:rRNA from 1 species